CCUACGGGUGACAGCAGUGAGGAAUAUUGGUCAAUGGGCGGAAGCCUGAACCAGCGAAGCCGCGUGAAGGAAGAAGGUUCUACGUAUUUUAAGCUUCUUUUGUAAAGGAAUAAAAUCAGGCCCGCGUGCCUGAGAGAGUGUACUUUAAGACAAAGCAUCAGCUAACUCCUUGCCAGAAGGCGCGGUAAUACGGAGGAUGCGAGCGUUAUCAGGAUUUAUUGGGUUUAAAGGGAGCGUAGACGGUUUGGUAAGUUAGAGGUGAAAUACCGGGGCUCAACACCGGAACUGCCUUUAAUACUGGUGAACUAGAGAGCAGUUGAGGUAGGCGGAA
rnacentral:rRNA from 1 species